UUGUGUUAGGGUUGGGGGUGGGGGGGGUUUGGGUUAUUAAGGUUAGGGGUUUAAGGUUAGGGUUAGUGUUUUUAGGAGGGUGGGGCGCUAACCUGUGUGCACAGGCCAUCUAUGUCGUUCGUUCAAAUCGACUCACUUCUCAUUAAGGCCUUGGGGAUGUAUAGUACCUAAUUUACUAAUCCAGAUCUUUUCUGCUCUUUUUCUCUGAAGCACAGACCACAGCGGGUUGGCCUGCAGGACCGUGACCCUGAAUGAGUCCCAUCCAUGCCCCAUAAAGUGUUGGACCAGGUGAUGAGGUUUUGGAAGUGUGAUCUGACCUCCCUGGUCAAUUUCACCGCGGCUGACGAGUACGUCAGGAUGAAGGGCAUGACGGUGCCCUCCGUCUGGGUCCCUUUGGUCAGGUACGAUUUCAAAAUUUUUCUAAGAAAUGACCUGUUGUAUUCUCUCGGCUUGAGUGCUUUAAAGAGGAUUUGUGUCGCUUCUCUGAAGUCCCGUUCCUGGGUGCAUAUGUGGCUGAACCUCAGGAGUUGCGACUUGACUAGGCCGGAAUAGGUGUGCUUGGGGUGAAAGCUCCUUUUAUGUAAUAGGGCAUGCGUGUCAGUCUCCUUGAAGAAGACUUUAAUGUCCUGAUUGUGUGACGAACCGAAAGCCGGACCCUUGUAAGUGGUGGUGUCCAGGAAGUCUACCGACUCAUGACUAAUGGUGGAUUUGAGUGUUAUCGACGGAUUGUGGUUGUUUAGCCAGGCCUCGAAUUCCCUGAACUCCUCCUCGGAGUGGGUCCACACUCCCCAGAUAUCAUCCAGAUAUCUGAAGUAGUGAAGGGGCCGUCUGUGGCAUCCGCCCAAGGCCGAAGCCUCCCACUCUGCCAUGAAAAUGUUGGCGUAGGCUGGGGCGAACUUCUUGCCCAUCGCCGUGAAUUUUACUUGCAGGAAAAAUUCCCUGAACUCAAAGUAAUUUCUGUUUAAAUUAAUGUCCAAAAGUCGGAUGAGUUCGUUGUCAGGCCUGGAGGCGUUAGUUAUUGCCUGUAUUCCCUCUCGGAUGUCAAUGUUUGUGUAUAAGCU
ensembl:lncRNA